CGGGGGUCCCGCUUGGCUAUCUCCGUUAAUAGAGACGCAUACAACAGGCAAGAGACAACUCAUGCCAACUCUGAAUAUUCGGCAAGGAUAUUUGACAGCCGUGGACUUUCAGAUCUAGUUUGUAGAUUUUUUGUUUUGUUUUCAGUGGACACGAAACCCAUAGAUCUGAGCCUAGAUCUAGCGUCUAGUAGGAACGUGUGAUUCCGUACCUCACCAGUGCAGUGAACUAUUGCUGACAGUCUCAGGAGCUUAACAUGAGAGUCUAAACGAGUGUUGAUCUAGCUCAAAGAAAGAGUUUCUAACUAACUCACCAAACCUGGGAACUAUUGCAUACAGUGUCAGAACCCCAAUACGAGAAUCUAAACAAGUGCUUCUCCAUUUCAAAGAAAUCUGGGACUGGGUCUACCUCGCAUGACGUCAUAUACCAAAAUAAACCCAUUUGAAAGAUCUUCUUUCUGACCUAUUUAUAAGCAGUGUCUCAAACAAAGCGACACAGAUCCAAACAAAUCACACGAAGGGACAAGAAACCUCUAGGCUUUUAGCGCCAAAUCUGCACAGCAAUUUGUGUCAUCUUCUGCAUGGAUAGAGAAGUAUCUUCUUCUCAAUAGUACAAUCUGGUUUUCCUUGUUUUAGUUUUUCGUUGUUUCUCAAGGAUAACUUGCAGCAGUCUCUAGUCGGAUUACGUUUGACUUAUAUUUCAUUUCUGGAACAUUCUUGAUUUCCAAAAAAAAAAAAAAACAAAUCUGAAGCUUUCUUGAGAAUUAAGGAUUCAAGAAACGAAACACAAACAUAUCUUGGAUAUUUGUGGGACAUUCAAGUUUUCUUGUGCGUGUUAGCGUGUGUGUGUGCUAUUAUCGAGCUCAAUUCAAUCACAGCAAAAACAAUUAAGCCUUUGUUCCUGUGUGUGUGUUUGAUAUUUCUAACAAGGCCUCAGCGUUUAUAGCUUUAAAGAAAGCUUUUGUUGUGGUUAUAGUUGUGCUGCAUUUGGAGGAACUAUCUCAGCCAUAAAGGUCAGAGUUCACCAGAAGAGCUGGAUAACAAAUCCAAUAACAAUGAAAAAGUAUCGACGACGGCAUCGGAGAGCCGAAAGAGUUCCAAGCCAAUCAUGGAGAAGAGAAGAAGAGCCCGGAUAAAUGCCAGCCUGGGUGAGCUGAAGGGUCUGCUGCAAGAAGCUAUCAAACGAGAGGUCGGUCAAAUGUUUUUUUCCAUUUUUAACGUUUAUUCUUUAGGAAAUUAUUUAGACUUUUUUUUUUAAAAGAAGUUUGUUUUAUGUUUACGAAUUUCCUCUGAGAACAAGAAACUAUAUAAAGUUAUUUAAAGUGAUUGAGAGUUUUAAGCGAAAAAAAAAAGAAAUUCCAAAAUGAAACACUUCUAUUUAAGUUACAAACACGUAGGGACAUGAGUCACACACAUACACACACACACAUAC
rnacentral:sRNA from 1 species